GAUGAGUGCAGGCUGUUUAAGGACGCGCUUGUCAUCAGUAGCCUGGCUCUUUCUCCCACUGCAGGCCAACAGCAGAGUGUAGGAUCACAGUUUAUUGAGAAGUGGAAAUGAGAGAAAGGAACAAGAAUCCAUAUUGAUUAGAAAAGAAGAAGUCCAGCUCUGGGAAGGGCACUGGACGUAAAGGACGUCCGAGUAGCCAAGCCCUGGUUAAUCCAAGGGUAUACCUUCCUUUUCUCAUCACCCAGAUCAUUCACACUGGGGCAAGCAAACCGCCAUGUUGCCAGCAGCUCUAUAGAAAGGCCCACGUGGCGUGGCGAGGAAUUGAGACCCUCAGCCCAAGAGCCUAUGAGGAACUGAGGCUUGCCAGCUUCCCCAUGACUAAGCUUAGGAGGGGAUCCUUCACUCCAGCUGAGUCCUGAAAUGCCUGCAUCCCCAGCAGACAGCUUUAUUGCAGCAUUACGAGAGACCCUGAGCAGGCAUCUCUCAGCUCAGCUGCACCUGGAUCCCUGGCUCACAGAACUGUGAGAUAAUAAAGGUUUGUUGUUUUAAGCUGCUAAA